AACCGGAUUAGAUACCCUGGUAGUCGAUGCCGUAAACGAUGAGUGCUAAGUGUUGGAGGGUUUCCGCCCUUCAGUGCUGCAGCUAACGCAUUAAGCACUCCGCCUGGGGAGUACGACCGCAAGGUUGAAACUCAAAGGAAUUGACGGGGGCCCGCACAAGCGGUGGAGCAUGUGGUUUAAUUCGAUGCUACGCGAAGAACCUUACCAGGUCUUGACAUCUUCUGCCAACCUAAGAGAUUAGGCGUUCCCUUCGGGGACAGAAUGACAGGUGGUGCAUGGUUGUCGUCAGCUCGUGUCGUGAGAUGUUGGGUUAAGUCCCGCAACGAGCGCAACCCUUAUUGUUAGUUGCCAGCAUUCAGUUGGGCACUCUAGCAAGACUGCCGGUGACAAACCGGAGGAAGGUGGGGAUGACGUCAAAUCAUCAUGCCCCUUAUGACCUGGGCUACACACGUGCUACAAUGGACGGUACAACGAGUCGCGAAACCGCGAGGUCAAGCUAAUCUCUUAAAGCCGUUCUCAGUUCGGAUUGUAGGCUGCAACUCGCCUACAUGAAGUUGGAAUCGCUAGUAAUCGUGGAUCAGCAUGCCACGGUGAAUACGUUCCCGGGCCUUGUACACACCGCCCGUCACACCAUGAGAGUUUGUAACACCCAAAGCCGGUGAGGUAACCUUCGGGGACCAGCCGUCUAAGGUGGGACAGAUGAUUAGGGUGAAGUCGUAACAAGGUAACC
rnacentral:rRNA from 1 species